GAGCUCAGCUGGUAGAGCAUGGGACUCUUAAUCUCGGAGUCGUAAGUUCGAGACCCACGUGGGGCG